rnacentral:rRNA from 1 species
AACGAACGCUGGCGGCAUGCCUAACACAUGCAAGUCGAACGCGUGCAGCGAUCGACGAGUGGCGCACGGGUGAGUAACGCGUGGGAACCUGCCCUGGAGUGUGGGAUCACCCGGAGACAGCCGGGCUAAUACCGCAUCCGACCUGAGGGUGCAAGCUUUAGCGCUCUAGGAGGGCCCCGCGUCGGAUUAGCUAGUUGGUGAGGUAAUGGCUCACCAAGGCGAUGAUCCGUAGCUGGUCUGAGAGGAUGAUCCGCCACACUGGGACUGAGACACGGCCCAGACUCCUACGGGAGGCAGCAGUGGGGAAUAUUGGACAAUGGGGGCAACCAUGGUCCAGCAAUGCCGCGUGGGCGAUGAAGGCGUUCGGGUUGUAAAGCCCUUUUGCACGCGACGAUGAUGACGGUAGCGUGAGAAGAAGCCCCGGCUAACUUCGUGCCAGCAGCCGCCGUAA